CCAUUUCUUGGGCCGCUCUCGCGGCAUAUGGAGGUUCCCAGGCUAGGGGUCUAAUCGGAGCUGUAGCCACUGGCCUACGCCAGAGCCACAGCAACGCGGGAUCCGAGCCGCGUCUGAGACCUACACCACAGCUCACGGCAACGCCGGAUCUUUAACCCACUGAGCAAGGGCAGGGAUUGAACCCGCAACCUCAUGGUUCCUAGUCGGAUUCGUUAACCACUGCGCCACCACGGGAACUCCAGGGCAUCAGAUUUGUAUAGUUUCCCCUCUUUAUGAUCUGACGCAGUUUAUGAAAGAUAGGGAUGGUUUCUUCCUUAAAGAUUUGGUAGAAUUCAAUGUAAAACAAUCUGACUACAUUGUUUGGAAUUUUUUGGUUGUUUUGUUUUGCAGAUAGUUUUUAAACUACUUUCACAAGGCAAAUUGUUUAAUAGUGUUAGGUCCAUUCUUGAUAUCUUUUUAUUCAUUCAGUCUUGGUAUUACAUUUUAUCUAAGCUUUCAAAUAUAUUGGCAUAAGGUCAAUCAUAGUUAUCUCAUAAUUUUAAAAUCUAUAUUGUAAAUAUAAUUAAUUCUCAGUUUUCACUUCCAUUAUUUUGUUUUUAUGUGUUCUCUUUUAUUUAACCAAUAUUUCUUAAGGAUUGCCUAUUUUUUUUACUUUUUUUUCCCAAAAAAGCCAGCUUUUUAAGUAUUUUCAUCUCUUUUCUCUUGUUUCAUUAAUUUUACUAUUCUUGUUCUUAUUUCCUUUUUUCCCCUAUUUCCAUUAAGUUAUCCCAUUACUCUUUCAUAACUUCUUGUCUUUUUGUUGUUGUUGUUGUUGUUGUUGUUGUUGCUAUUUCUUGGGCCGCUCCCGCGGCAUAUGGAGGUUCCCAGGCUAGGGUUCGAAUCGCCAGGGCCACAGCAACGCGGGAUCCAAGCCGCGUCUGCAACCUACACCACAGCUCACAGCAACGCCAGAUCCUUAACCCACUGAGCAAGGGCAGGGACCGAACCCGCAACCUCAUGGUUCCUAGUCAGAUUCGUUAACCACUGUGCCACGACGGGAACUCCUUUUAUAACUUCUUAAUUAGACCCUUACUUCCUUAAUUUCAGCAUUCUCUAUUUCUAAUAUUCAUCAGUGGUGGUUUAACAAGGAGAUUCAGGGGAUAUGGAUAUUUAAAAAUGUGUGCUACUUAUAUAAUUAAUAAACAGUAUCUUAAAAAGAAAUGUAAUAACUACCACGUUAAACGUAAUAGUUCAGGGAUGGUGUAUCACUUAAGAUAAGGCAAGCAGUACGUUAAAAGUCAAUGAAUGACAAUAAAAAUGAAAAUAAUAGUAAAGUUGACCAUUGUUCCAUGUUUGGCUGAAAAGACAGUGACUUCUCUAAUUCAAGGUGCACAAUUCAAGAUAAGAGCAUGGAGUAAUAGCUGUUAACCAUGCAGUUCAAAUCAUCCUUAUGCUAUUAUUUAUUUUUUUACCUGCUCGAAUUAUUAGUUUUUGGAAUGGUAUGUUAAAACCUCCUGCCCUAAAUGUAUUUGCCAAUCCCUCCUUAUAAUUCUGGCAAUGGCUACAUUAUACAGUUUGAAUAUGAAUUGCUAGGUGUAAUUCAGCUCAAGAAUUAUUUUAUAUUCCUCAUGAAUUAUUCCUUUAGUAAUUAAAGAAUGCUCUUUACCUCCAAAAAUAUCUUUCUCUUGGGUCUUCUUUGGCUGGCAUUAGGAUGGUCACCCUGGCUUCCUCUUAGCUCUCAUUUGCUUGGUAUGUAUUUUUCCAUCCCUUUACUGUCAACCUUGGUCUGUCAUUAAGUUUUAGUAUUCUUUCCAUCACAUCAGGCUGUGCUUUUCCUGGUUCAUUCUCCUCCACCAAGGUCUUUUGUAGUCCUGAGUUCUGGAAUGCUAAUGUAUCCACAUGACACACAUAUCCAAGUGUCCAGAUGGAAAAAAGAAGUCUUUAAGGGAAGUUUGGAUGUUCAUGAGAGCAAGUUACAGCCCCCUGGUUUGCAUCUGGAGACGGGAGGUGGAAAGCCUGAGCUCCGCAGACUCCUGCCUGCCCGGGGAGUUCACGUACAGCUCGUGGGCAGUGGCCAAACUCGCCCCAGGAAGAUCCUGGUUCUGAAGAUGGGACACGUGCAGUUCUGCCUUCUGCUAUUUACAGCUCCACUCAGAUGAGGCUGCACCUUCUUGGGACAGAACGAGAAGGUCUAAGCCUCAGGAAACAAUGUAAACCACUGUGCCAUGGAGCAAGUGCCAUCCUCCCGUGGAAGCUUCCUCCCAGGCUCGGGCAACAAGGGGCCUGCCCCCAGGCCCUGAUGGGGCUGGAGGUCUUCUAAAACAGCCUAUGAGUUCUGUCUCCACACACUGCUCUGCGUUAAGUGAGCAGACGAACCAUUCGCUUUGCCUUUCCCAAAACAUCCAGGCAACAUUGAGGUUCCAAACAUAGUCUACCUUCCUGUCUCAGAUCUGCAAAAGAAAACCCAAAAACUGUAUCCACAGGAUGGGAAAUGUGUGCCUGGAGGAAUGAAGGUGGGAAUGCCCACCCUUUGGUGGGAGAAGGGAACAGUGGCUCAGCUCCUAGGGAGGAGCUCCACCAAUCAGGGACCAGGGAUGCUAACCAAGUAUCCGUCUAGGGUGGGACUGAGGGGACCCCACCCUGGACUGUAUCUCGUGAGAGGCGGUGGCCAUAGAGGGAGCGGGGCACACCAUGCUUCUAGUCCUGCAUCCACCAUUUCUUCUAUCUGGGCAUCAGUCUCUUCCUCUAUUCCUGAUCGCUUUGCCCCAUCAUCUCCUGGCCCCCAUGGAUAAUUUCCCGUCACUGACAGCAACUUGGGCAAAAGUCACUGCCAGGGUGUCAGGCCUCCAAGUGCGAUUUCCAGGGUGGUUUCCUGCUGCUUCCUGCUGCUCUGUUGCUUCUUGCAGGAGGUUGGGGACUCUCACAGGUAGGCACCCCUCAAGUUGCUCUCUAGACUUCCCAGGCCAAAGAUCGGAGAGGCUUUGCAGCCUGGACACCCCCCCACCUCACCUCACCCCCGUCCAGCCCCACGUCUUCCCUGAGUCUCUGAGUGGCAUCUCCUGGUGGUCCUGCACCGACAAGGGGGUGGGUUGUCCCUCGAUUUGCUGGACGUCCGAAGGGGAGGGAUGCAGACCCGCAGCCCUGAAUGGACUCAGCACAUGUGGCUGGACAUGCAGGACCCAGUGGACUGAGAGCUGAGGAGGAGCUCUUCCAUCCAGGAGACAUCCAGGCAGCCCCAGGGUUUCCCAUCCCCUCUCUUGAAGAAAUAGGAGAGGUAGUGGCUCCCUCUAGUGGUGCAGUCUGCAAUGGCAUGUGGGGGAUCCAUCCCUGGGCUGACGAGCCUGGCCCAGAUUCUCACAUGUCGUCACAAACAAUAAGCACAGUAUUUGGAGAAAGUCCAUUUGUUCUGUUCUGUUUUUGUUUUUUUAACACCUCCAGCACAGGAGCCUAUGGCUGCAGAGACAAGCACUGGUGAUCUCUAGCUGCUGGCUUCAGGAUCAGCAACAAGGCUGAGUGCCCCAGAGCACUAACCUCCCGGCCAGACAUCCCUUCCCACCACUCCCUGCUUUGCCGUGGACAAACCAUCUUCGCUUCUCUGGGGAUUGUUUUCCUCCACGUGUUGGAGGAAGGAGUGGUGCAGGUCAAGUAGCUGAUCUCCAACCUUGAGAUGCUCUGAAAGGCUCCAACGUGCAAAAGAGCCCAGAGUCUAUGGCGCGCACCCAGGAAGAAGCACAGGCUUGCUCAUAACCUCCUGUACCAGGAGGAAGCUUGACAGUCACCACACACUUCCACGAAGAGCACGGCGACUGUCUAACACAUCUCAUUCUCACCUGGUCCGCCGGUGACGGAUUCUGACGUUGAGCUGAGGCAAAGGACACAGAGCCAAGGACUCCGGGCCAAGGGGUCAGUCAGGCUGCUGACUUGUGCUUGGAGCCCUGAGAAAAGAUGCAGCAAUUCCACUCCUUCUUAGCAGGAAGCCGUGUCUACGGGACCCAUCUCAUAAUAGUCACAACAGUGAGAGCAGGUAACCCACACACUUGCUGCUGAGAGCCAGGCUCCGCUAUGUAUUCACUCCUAUCAUCAGAGCACCUAUAUCACUGGUGAUCCAUCAAAGAACCAUCCUUAUGUGGACACCAGACCAAUGACAGCCUGAGUUACUAGGUAUGAUAACUGCCUGCCGGCAGGUAGAGAUGCUCAAUGAGAAUUCAACCCACACGGAUCUCCCUAGGUAAGAGGAGAGGGCUCUCUCGCUUUCCAUCAUGUACCUGGAAAUCAGUUUGCCCUCGGUUAUGUGAUAGAGUUUAAAAUCUCAGAAUUAUAAGUGGGACGAGACAUUGGUCCAAUUCUGGAUUUCUCAGGUGAGGUGGGGACUGGAUUUCUCAAUGCGUGUCACCCAGGGAGUUUAGUGGCAGGACCCGGGCUAGCCUCCAGGUCUCCAGACUCUCAACCCACAGCUCGUGAGCUGAAAGGUGACCCAAAGACCUCCCCUAGGGCUCCCUGGCCUUGGUCAGGGCAACCGAGCUUAGAGAGCAGUGUGGUCCUGACAGCAGCCUGAGGUGCCCACGAGCUGCCUGGUAAAUCACCUUUCAGCUGCCUCAUCUCAAAACAAAGCAAGUGUCACCCUGGAAGGGUGCAUUCCAAAGGCAGACGACGGCAGAGAGCAAGACAGUCUGAGGGCAGCCUGCGACAUCAGGCCUCCUGUCCCCCACCUGUCCACUCCAGACGAGGCCCCUGUGGCCCCUCUAGGAGCCGGGAUCGAGGUGUCCUCAGCCUCCCAUUGAUGUGUCUUCUUUUCCCAGAUCACUUCCAGCCUCCCUACGGGAACGGUCCACACACCCUGCUUUUCCUUCCCACUGUCUCUGCCUCAUGCUCUUCUGGUCUCCUGCGUCCCCCUCUGGUUGGGCCGCCUGGGAUGUGACAACACCUCACCUGCUGUGUCCCAGCUGGAGCCAAGACUGGCCAUGUCCCCAGCCUUCCCAGGAGGAAACGGACUGGACUGCGUGAGGAAGACAGCCAGCAGGGGUGACAGCAGCCGACACCUCCCUUGGCUUCUUGGAGGAAAGAAGGCAGGUUAGAGGCUUAGUCACGUGGUAUCUGGGGGCGGGGUUUCCGGGUGAGGCCCGCCCUGGGGAGGGGGUCGCCUGGCCUUGACACAGCCACCGAGGGUGGUCCAGGCCCCCGGGCUUCUCUUUCCUCCACACAAGCUGGGAGUCUUCACUCCCUGGGGUGUGUGUGUGUGUGUGUGUGUGUGUGUGUGUGUGUGUGUGUGUGAUGCAGGGAUGCCUGACAACCACCCCCACUUGUAGGGAACAACACGUGAGUGUCAGAUGAUUUGUGCGUUAACAUAUAUUUUAACCAGAGCCAGCACUUCAUUCAUUCACAUCCUCACUCACUUAUUCACCAGACACUUUGUGGGCAGCAAGUCCAUGUCCAGUGCUCUGCAAGACAUCAAGUGGGCAGGUGUUGAGAACAUGGGCCCUGCUACUAAGGCUUCUGCAGUUUGGUGACAAAGUCCUGCCCGGCU
rnacentral:lncRNA from 1 species